rnacentral:rRNA from 1 species
GCAAUGCCGCGUGAGUGAAGAAGGCCUUCGGGUUGUAAAGCUCUUUUGUCAGGGAAGAAACGGUGAAGGCUAAUAUCCCUUACUAAUGACGGUACCUGAAGAAUAAGCACCGGCUAACUACGUGCCAGCAGCCGCGGUAAUACGUAGGGUGCAAGCGUUAAUCGGAAUUACUGGGCGUAAAGCGUGCGCAGGCGGUUUUGUAAGUCUGACGUGAAAUCCCCGGGCUCAACCUGGGAAUUGCGUUGGAGACUGCAAGGCUAGAAUCUGGCAGAGGGGGGUAGAAUUCCACGUGUAGCAGUGAAAUGCGUAGAGAUGUGGAGGAACACCGAUGGCGAAGGCAGCCCCCUGGGUCAAGAUUGACGCUCAUGCACGAAAGCGUGGGGAGCAAACAGGAUUAGAUACCCUGGUAGUCCACGCCCUAAACGAUGUCUACUAGUUGUCGGGUUUUAAUUAACUUGGUAACGCAG